rnacentral:lncRNA from 1 species
CCAAAUAAUUGUUUUGUACACUACUUUGUGAUGUUUUUCACUGAAAACGUAGCAUUGAGGUGUAUUUACCGGAAUUUGCCGAGUAUCACCGGAAUGUCAUGCGAUAACGUUACGAAAAGGCAUGUGAUAACGUUCGAAGCAUGUGAUAAACUUUUCAUAUCAGCCCGCUAAGCACCAAUUCGAAAAAUAUGAAAUUUAUGUUA